rnacentral:rRNA from 1 species
AGCAGUCGCCACGGUAAUACGGAGGGUGCAAGCGUUAUCCGGAUUUAUUGGGUUUAAAGGGUCCGUAGGCGGAUCUGUAAGUCAGUGGUGAAAUCUCACAGCUUAACUGUGAAACUGCCAUUGAUACUGCAGGUCUUGAGUAAAUUUGAAGUGGCUGGAAUAAGUAGUGUAGCGGUGAAAUGCAUAGAUAUUACUUAGAACACCAAUUGCGAAGGCAGGUCACUAAGAUUUAACUGACGCUGAUGGACGAAAGCGUGGGGAGCGAACAGGAUUAGAUACCCCUGUAGUCCCUGUCUCUUAUAC